CAGAAAUCCUUACCCUUCAGAUGGGCUUUUCGACAUUAAAACUAGAGAGAUAAACCUGAAGGUAUUUUGGAGUGAGGUGGGGUUCCUGCAGUGGGAAAUCUCUACAUUUUAGGAAAUCAGUGGCUCUGGAAAGAGCAAACAAAACACCUUUUACAAAUUUAGGAAUGCUGCGAGGCCAAAGAGGCUGAGACUGUGAGAGCCGAUAGAGGGAUUCUCAAGAGAACUGGAAAUGGAGGAAGUGAUUAAGAAGCUAUUGGAUCAAGAGUGACUGUGUGCGCCCUGAUCUGGCUUCAGGGAAUUAGGAGCAGAUUCUUUCCUGAAACUCAGCUGCACAUGUGUCAGGAGGCAGGCAUUUACUGUCUUCAGACUGAGGAAGGCUAUUCUAUUUGACAAAGAUCUGAUGUCUUCUCAGGUGAAGGGACUGCAAAUAGCCUCAAGCAAUAUUCCCCCUAAUCCAGAACUGAGUAGAGGUCCGGCAACUGCUUGCCAGGGGAGAGGCACUAGCCACUGCCAUGGAUGCGGUGUCAGGGAUGGUGGCCCCAACAGCUGGCACCCUCUGCAUGCACUGCCUCCAACAGCAGGGUUGGACCCUGCUCCUGGACCAGCUGGUACCAUACAGGAGGAGUGGCUGGUGGACUUGUGGGCAUAGUGCACUGAGGAUGUUGUGCACAAGCAGGA